AGAGCGUUUAUGAAGGAAUAUAGGUCGGCAUGGUCAAUCUGGACAGGAUUUUGGGUCAGCCAAAAAAAAAAGGAUGAAUUGAAAUCCCGCACGAUCCUCCAUUCAAAACUCGCGCCCUCUAGAUCAUCAAGCAAGAAGCAACAGUGUUCAAUGUGAUAGUGGUGAGCGGUGUAGCGUGGAUGUGUGCGUCCGUCAAUCUUUCGCAGCUACGCCUUUCCGUGAGGCGGCUGGAGCAGGAAAUCGCCGAGCCGUGCUGCAGAGAGGAAAGGAUGGCAGGUGGUGCCGCGGUGAACACUCCCAACACAUGCAGGAGGAAAGAAAGGAUGGCAGGUGGUGCCGCGGUGAACACUCCCAACACAUGCAGGAGGAAAGAAAGGAUGGCAGGUGGUGCCGCGGUGAACACUCCCAACACAUGCAGGAGGAAAGUGAGUACCUGCUUCAUUACAUCAUGUGCCCUCUAUUUUGAUCUCGCUGUUAAACUUUUUUUUUUUUAUUCAUGUCAACGGAAACCUGUCACUGUUGCCUGCCUUUCUCCUGUCAGCUUCCCACGAAUCUGUGAAGGAAAGAAAGGAUGUGCUUCCAUGGUAUC